GUUUAGUUCCCUUAUUUUUUCACUAUUGAAUACAGAGAACAGUUCUUCUGAAGACUCUAAACUAUUUCUGGCGGGAUCAUCUUGUAAACAUGAAUAGGCUCAGCUCAGCGGUAAAUGUAAGAAGUUUCGGGCACAGGAAUCCUCUCGAAGAAUACAAAAUUGAUGGCUGUCGGUUUUUCAUCUCAAUGCUGACUCGGAGAUUAACUGUUGAAACACUUCUGCAGUAUUGGUCAUCUCCUACAGAAUCUCAAGAACUCUUUGUGUCGUAAAUGUCAGAUUAAUCAUAAAGCGGAAGGUAUAUAUCCUCCUCCUCUGUGUUAAACGUCAACUCUUGUUCAGGGGAAAUUGUUUUGAUUCUGUUAACACUGUUUAAGUCAAUGUGCCCCAUAAAAACAAAUCAUUGCUUCGUUUCCACUGUAGCUGGAUCAAGGAUGUAACAUUCUUUCUUUAACGGAUUAGUGUUAUGUUUGAUGUCA